GAUGAACGCUGGCGGCGUGCCUAAUACAUGCAAGUCGAGCGAACAGACGAGGAGCUUGCUCCUCUGACGUUAGCGGCGGACGGGUGAGUAACACGUGGAUAACCUACCUAUAAGACUGGGAUAACUUCGGGAAACCGGAGCUAAUACCGGAUAAUAUAUUGAACCGCAUGGUUCAAUAGUGAAAGACGGUUUUGCUGUCACUUAUAGAUGGAUCCGCGCCGCAUUAGCUAGCUGGUAAGGUAACGGCUUACCAAGGCAACGAUGCGUAACCGACCUGUGAGGGUGAUCGCCCCCACUGGAACUGAGACACGGUCCAGACUCCUACGGGAGGCAGCAGUAGGGAAUCUUCCGCAAAGGGCGAAAGCCUGACGGAGCAACGCCGCGUGAGUGAUGAAGGUCUUCGGAUCGUAAAACUCUGUUAUUAGGGAAGAACAAAUGUGUAAGUAACUAUGCACGUCUUGACGGUACCUAAUCAGAAAGCCACGGCUAACUACGUG
rnacentral:rRNA from 1 species